rnacentral:rRNA from 1 species
UACGUAGGGGGCAAGCGUUGUCCGGAUUUAUUGGGCGUAAAGAGCGUGUAGGCGGCCUGACAGGUCUGCUGUGAAACUCGAGGCUCAACCUCGAGAUGUCGGCGGAAACCGUCUGGCUAGAGUCCGGAAGAGGAGAGUGGAAUUCCUGGUGUAGCGGUGAAAUGCGCAGAUAUCAGGAAGAACACCCGUGGCUAAGGCGGCUCUCUAGUACGGUACUGACGCUGAGACGCGAAAGCGUGGGGAGCGAACAGG